rnacentral:rRNA from 1 species
GCAAGUCGAACGAACCUUUCGGGGUUAGUGGCGGACGGGUGAGUAACGCGUGAGAAUCUGCCCUCAGGAGGGGGAUAACGACUGGAAACGGUCGCUAAUACCCCAUAUGCCGAGAGGUGAAAUGAAUUUCGCCUGAGGAUGAGCUCGCGUCUGAUUAGCUAGUUGGUAGGGUAACGGCCUACCAAGGCGACGAUGCAUAGCUGGUCUGAGAGGAUGAAC